CCGUCCACAGUAGCCAUUGACAACGAAUAAUUCGCCAUGUUAGCAAUGGGCUCAAUUUGACUGAAAGCUCAUAAAGAAACGGAUGGAGAUUUCGGAUUAACAGAGAGCGUUAGCUGCUGAAGGUCCUCCAGAGCCUCAAGUACGAGGCCUCAAGAAUCAAAAGUUGAUUCUUUACAAUCUGCGUAUAAUGCUUCUAGCUGCUUGCAUUCUCAUCUGUUUUCAGACAAGCGCUCCCAGUAAGGAUCAGCUACUGCUGCUAAUCAAUCAGGCGAUCCCAUACUAAGAAAGAUACUUGACUUCUAUCAACGACAGAUAUAACGGCUGAUGGAGCAGGCACCUCAGUUCAUAUUGUACCCACCAUGUCACGUGUGAUCUGGGAGCAAAACCUGCGAGCGAUGUCGUAUGUCUCUGAUUGGACAGCUGCUUCAACCUAGGCUACCCCUGAAGCCCAGUGUGACGCAGAACGUACUACCACUUUGAUGGCUGAUGCGCUAUAAGCACACAAUGCCCUAAUAUAGUUACAUAGCGAGUUGAUAUAUACAAAUAAUAGUGAUGAUAGGAUUGAUAGGAACAGUGCGCGUACCUCUUAUAUAGCACGAUUUUAAGCAUUAAACAAGCAAAUCUUGGAAGAAUCGUCCAGAGCUUACUCCAUACCUCAUUUUACAGCUUAUUGUUUAUUAAGGUUAUUUCACUGAUUUCCGCGCAUUAUAGAAAUGCGCGUUACUAACAUCUCAAGUUUGAGUAAAUGGCAAUCUGUGGAAUUAAAGAAAAUCCUGUUCAA